CAGGCUUAACACAUGCAAGUCGAGGGGCAGCAUGGUCUUAGCUUGCUAAGGCCGAUGGCGACCGGCGCACGGGUGAGUAACGCGUAUCCAACCUGCCUUACACUCUUGGACAGCCUUCUGAAAGGGAGAUUAAUACAAGAUGUUAUCAUGAGUAAGCAUUUUCGCAUGAUUAAAGGUUUACCGGUGUAAGAUGGGGAUGCGUUCCAUUAGAUAGUAGGCGGGGUAACGGCCCACCUAGUCUUCGAUGGAUAGGGGUUCUGAGAGGAAGGUCCCCCACAUUGGAACUGAGACACGGUCCAAACUCCUACGGGAGGCAGCAGUGAGGAAUAUUGGUCAAUGGACGAGAGUCUGAACCAGCCAAGUAGCGUGAAGGAUGAAGGUUCUAUGGAUUGUAAACUUCUUUUAUACGGGAAUAAACGAAUCCACGUGUGGAUUUUUGCAUGUACCGUAUGAAUAAGGAUCGGCUAACUCCGUGCCAGCAGCCGCGGUAAUACGGAGGAUCCGAGCGUUAUCCGGAUUUAUUGGGUUUAAAGGGAGCGUAGAUGGGUUGUUAAGUCAGUUGUGAAAGUUUGCGGCUCAACCGUAAAAUUGCAAUUGAUACUGGCAGUCUUGAGUACAGUUGAGGUAGGCGGAAUUCGUGGUGUAGCGGUGAAAUGCUUAGAUAUCACGAAGAACUCCGAUUGCGAAGGCAGCUUACUAACCUGUAACUGACAUUGAUGCUCGAAAGUGUGGGUAUCAAACAGGAUUAGAUACCCUGGUAGUCCACACGGUAAACGAUGAAUACUCGCUGUAGGCGAUAUACAGUCUGCGGCCAAGCGAAAGCAUUAAGUAUUCCACCUGGGGAGUACGCCGGCAACGGUGAAACUCAAAGGAAUUGACGGGGGCCCGCACAAGCGGAGGAACAUGUGGUUUAAUUCGAUGAUACGCGAGGAACCUUACCCGGGCUUAAAUUGCAACCGAAUAUGGCGGAAACGCUAUAGCUAGCAAUAGCGGUUGUGAGGGUGCUGCAUGGUUGUCGUCAGCUCGUGCCGUGAGGUGUCGGCUUAAGUGCCAUAACGAGCGCAACCCUUGCCGAUAGUUACUAACAGGUCAUGCUGAGGACUCUGUCGGGACUGCCAUCGUAAGAUGUGAGGAAGGUGGGGAUGACGUCAAAUCAGCACGGCCCUUACGUCCGGGGCUACACACGUGUUACAAUGGGGGGUACAGAGGGCUGCUACCACGCAAGUGGAUGCCAAUCCCAAAAACCUCUCUCAGUUCGGAUUGAAGUCUGCAACCCGACUUCAUGAAGCUGGAUUCGCUAGUAAUCGCGCAUCAGCCACGGCGCGGUGAAUACGUUCCCGGGCCUUGUACACACCGCCCGUCAAGCCAUGGGAGCCGGGGGUACCUGAAGUGCGUAACCGCAAGGAGCGCCCUAGGGUAAAACUGGUGACUGGGGCUAAGUCAUAACA
rnacentral:rRNA from 1 species